AAUGGUGUAUUUAUAUUCCAUGAAUGAGCUAUUAGAAUGAAAGUAAUGGAUGAUAUGAAUUUAGUGAAGAAUGAAACUGAAAUUUUUUAGAAUACUAAACUUGCAUGAAUGUUUCUUGAUGAAAAUGUAUUUAUGGAUGCUGUUGCUUAGUGUGAAUGAAUUUUUUUAAAACUUAUUGUCUUGCAUAAGUUUUUUUAUUAUAAGUAAUGAUUUUACGAUUAUUUAUGUGUCUAUUCUAGGUAUGGUUGUCGUUGAAUAGUGAUUUGUCUAAAUGCUGAAUAUUCAGCAUCUAGUUAGUUCAUUACGUACUAGAAUUAUUUAAAAACUCAAAUUACUUUUGGGGGUGGAGCAAAUCAUUUUCACAUAUUCUAUUCUUUUAAAUUUUAUUGACGGCAAAGUAUAUCAAUUAUUUGGUUAGUAAUGUAGCAUUUUUUAAAGUCAAAUUUAAUAAAAAAGUAAUUACUUAUAUUCCUUAGAGAUAACAGAAGAAGUUUAUUUAGUUGCCAUUUAUUUUAUUUGCAAAUAGCAAAAAUUUUCCAAAAUAAAAUUUUUAACAUGCUUUUAUAUAUAUAUGUCUAAAGUUUUCUGCCAAAAAAUACAAUCUUGUAAAAUGUUAAAUACAGUGAACUCUCACUUAUGCACCGGUGUAAGGAGCCCAGAGAAAAAGGCGCAUAAGUGAAAAACUUCAAAAUUCUAAAGCGCAACGUAAAUUGCAGUGACAAUAUGAAUAAAUAUGUUUCUAAAGAUUAAAUGCUAAUAUUUAUACUGUUUUGGUAUUUAGUACUAUAAUUAUACAAAGAAAAAAUUUAAAAUACCUUAAGACAAUUUAUUUCCUUACAAAAUAAUCUUAAUACAUGUUUGUAUUUGUUUUUGCCGACAUAUUUCAAAAACAGUUUCCUCCAGUUCAUAUAAAUGGGAUAAGGGGGAGUUUCAGAAAGCAAAAUUAAAUUUUGAAUAGUCACGAAUAGUGUCUAAAGCUUCCAAUACUGUUGUGUGAUUUGGAGGAACUUUAUCAUCCUCGUCAGUAUCAUCCACCACGUUCUCAUCGUCCACAAGUUUUAGUUAGAUAUAAAUGAACACUUCUUCACAAAAAUUUUGAGUUUUAUGGGAGGGGGUGAAACAUCACAUGAUAAAUUUCUAAGAAAAGUACUUGACGUCAUAAUAUGCUGCACAAUAAGUUGUUCGAUUACUAAUGUCACUAAACCGAUCACAUCCUUUUAUUUACUUAUAAUGUCCAUCUGACUGCAAGUAAGUGAUCGCGGUCUCUUUCAUCUUUCGUAUUCCAGGUGUCUUUUUUUUUCGCUAGAAAACAGCAUGGGAGUAAAACUAAUCUCUAGACAAGAGGAAUGGUCAUUUUCUAAAAGAUGAGUGGGCUUUCAUUGUUGUUGGUGUAACACAGUGGUUCUUAACCUUUUUUAGCCGCGACCCAUAUUUGAGAAAUCUGCUCAUGUCACGACCCAAAAAAAAGUCAAAAUUAGGCUGAGUAAGUCACAAUGACUUCUUCUAGGAGGUGUUGGUAUUACUUAUUAUUUGAAAAAAUUACUAACUUUUUUGGUUCGACUCAGCGCAACCCAAGAAAUAUGCUUCGCGACCCAAUUUUGGGUCGCGACCCAUAGGUUAAGAAUCGCUGGUGUAACAGAUAAGACACCCUAUUCAAAAUUCUAGAAGGAAUGUCUUUCCAGAAACAGCAAAAGUGAAAAGGUCACAGGGGGAAGCAAAUUCAAUAGGAUCUAACAACAUAUAUUUCUUUUCAUCUGUAGCAAGGAUUGCUUAUUUCGGCGCAUAAUUGAAAAAUUGACUUUUAGAGCGACGCAUAAACGAAGGAUGUUUAUCAUUAUUUUCCUAUCUAAUGUACUGGGACCUAUAAAAAUCGUCAUAUAAAUGAAAAGGUGCAUAAAAGAGGUGGUGCAUAAGUGAGAGGUCACUGUACUUACAAAAUCAGCAAAGCUAAUGAGGAUAGUAAUCUCCAUUCAAAUCAACAAUGGUCUGCCAGCGUUUUAUCAACUUUUCAAUCCCUUCUGCGAAGAAUGGUGGCGUGCGUGGGUCCGGAAAGCAAUCGACUUUAUUUAUGACCUCAUCAUUGGAAUGGAAGAUUGGGCCAUCGAGAUGCAGAUGUGAAAUCAGAUAGUAAUCCAAAGGCGCCAUGUGUGGUCUGUAUGGUGGAUGUUGCAUCAAAUCCCACUUCAGCAUGUAGAACAUCCAGUCGGUCUUCACACUAACAUGUGGUCGGGUAUUAUCUUGAUGAAAGAGAGCUACCUUCCUUCUGAACUCGUUUUUCUUGAAUGGCAUCACUAACUUUGAUUAGCUUAUUACUGAAUAUUGUACUUUUGAUAGCCUGCCCGCUUUUCAGAUACUCCUUAUAGAUAAUUCCACGAUAAACUUACCAGAGUCAGAGAAGCACCUUCUUGUUAGUUAGCGUUCGUCUUGCAACCGAACCUACUCAUUCCCCGGGUGUUGAACACCCUCCUUUACAGCUUGUAUUGCUGUAGUACACCCAUUUCUCAUCCCAGGUCACGAUUCUGUGUAGAAUGUUCUCUUUUCUUUAAUCUCUUCACGGAGCCUAACCGGCUGCUUUUCUCUUGUGUUCAGCGGUCAAUUCGUUAGGCACCCAGCAGUUAAACUUAAGUGUUAGAUUUAUGCGUUUGAGAGCAUUAACUAUUGGAUUUUGGCAAACGUCAGGCUCUAACGCAAUAGUUUGUGUUGAAACAUUUCUGUCUUGAUCAAUGAUUUGCUUUNAGGGGCGCAUCAGUUCGGGAAAGGGGCAGGCAGGGCGGGCCGCCCUUUGAAAAAUGCUUAGGGAGAACACUGC